GAACGCACAUUGCGCUCCCUGGUAUUCCGGGGAGCAUGCCUGUUCGAGCGUCAUUACAACCCUCAAGCUCUGCUUGGUGUUGGGCCCCGCCGCCCCGGCGGGCCCUAAAGUCAGUGGCGGUGCCGUCCGGCUCCGAGCGUAGUAAUUUUUCUCGCUUUGGAGGCCCGGGCGCGUGCUUGCCAUCAACCCCCAAUUUUUUUCAGGUUGACCUCGGAUCAGGCAGGGAUACCCGCUGAACUUAAG
rnacentral:misc_RNA from 1 species